rnacentral:rRNA from 1 species
AGUGAACGCUGGCGGUAGGCCUAACACAUGCAAGUCGAACGGCAGCACAGUAAGAGCUUGCUCUUACGGGUGGCGAGUGGCGGACGGGUGAGGAAUACAUCGGAAUCUACUUAUUCGUGGGGGAUAACGUAGGGAAACUUACGCUAAUACCGCAUACUACCUACGGGUGAAAGCAGGGGAUCUUCGCACCUUGCGCGACUGAAUGAGCCGAUGUCGGAUUAGCUAGUUGGCGGGGUAAAGGCCCACCAAGGCGACGAUCCGUAGCUGGUCUGAGAGGAUGAUCAGCCACACUGGAACUGAGACACGGUCCAGACUCCUACGGGAGGCAGCAGUGGGGAAUAUUGGACAAUGGGCGCAAGCCUGAUCCAGCCAUACCGCGUGGGUGAAGAAGGCCUUCGGGUUGUAAAGCCCUUUUGUUGGGAAAGAAAAGCAGCAGGUGAAUACCCCGCUGUUCUGACGGUACCCAAAGAAUAAGCACCGGCUAACUUCGUG